rnacentral:rRNA from 1 species
UACGGAAGGUCCGGGCGUUAUCCGGAUUUAUUGGGUUUAAAGGGAGCUUAGGCUGAAGGUUAAGCGUGACGUGAAAUGUAGCCGCUCAACGGCUGAACUGCGUCGCGAUCUGGCUUCCUUGAGUGAGUACGACGUCAGCGGAAUUCGUGGUGUAGCGGUGAAAUGCUUAGAUAUCACGAAGAACCCCGAUUGCGAAGGCAGCUGACGAGUCCUUUACUGACGCUAAAGCUCGAAGGUGCGGGUAUCGAAC